AACGCGAAGAACCUUACCUGGGCUUGAACCGCACCGGACCAUCUUUGGAAACAGAGACUUCCCGCAAGGGACCGGUGUAGAGGUGCUGCAUGGCUGUCGUCAGCUCGUGCCGUGAGGUGUUGGGUUAAGUCCCGCAACGAGCGCAACCCUUGUCACUAGUUGCUACGCAAGGGCACUCUAGUGAGACUGCCGGUGACAAACCGGAGGAAGGUGGGGAUGACGUCAAGUCCUCAUGGCCCUUAUGGGUAGGGCUUCACACGUCAUACAAUGGCGCAUACAAAGGGCUGCCAACCCGCGAGGGGGAGCCGAAUCCCAGAAAGUGCGUCGUAGUCCGGAUUGCAGUCUGCAACUCGACUGCAUGAAGUCGGAAUCGCUAGUAAUCGCGGAUCAGCAAUGUCGCGGUGAAUACGUUCCCGGGCCUUGUACACACCGCACUACUA
rnacentral:rRNA from 1 species